CCCAACGUGCCAAUGCCUAUCAAAUAUCUACCUGUCCUAUGACAAACAUGACAGGUAGAUAUUUGAUAGGCAUUGGCACACUGGC
rfam:Macaca mulatta chromosome 15, whole genome shotgun sequence.